AGUGAACGCUGGCGGUAGGCCUAACACAUGCAAGUCGAACGGCGGCACAGGAGAGCUUGCUCUCUGGGUGGCGAGUGGCGGACGGGUGAGGAAUACAUCGGAAUCUACUUUUUCGUGGGGGAUAACGUAGGGAAACUUACGCUAAUACCGCAUACGACCUACGGGUGAAAGCAGGGGACCUUCGGGCCUUGCGCGAUUGAAUGAGCCGAUGUCGGGGUAGCUAGUUGGCGGGGUAAAGGCCCACAAAGGCGACGAUCCGUAGCUGGUCUGAGAGGAUGAUCAGCCACACUGGAACGGAGACACGGUCCAGACUCCUACGGGAGGCAGCAGUGGGGAAUAUUGGACAAUGGGCGCAAGCCUGAUCCAGCCAUACCGCGUGGGUGAAGAAGGCCUUCGGGUUGUAAAGCCCUUUUGUUGGGAAAGAAAUCCAGCUGGCUAAUACCCGGUUGGGAUGACGGUACCCAAAGAAUAAGCACCGGCUAACUACGUGCCAGCCGCCGCAGUAA
rnacentral:rRNA from 1 species